AUAUAUAUAUAUAUAUAUAUAUAUAUAAACAAAAGUAUGAACUUACUAUGUUAUUGCUCUGAUUAUUAUGUUGCCAUUAUGGUUUUGAGCCGGCACGGUAAGCGAUUUUUGGCAAUGACCUGGUCCAUUUGCAUAGCUAAUACUUCCUGUUGGCCGCACUUCCUUCACAGUGACACAUUUGUAUUAUUUUUAAUAUUGCCUCUUUUUUUUUUUUUUAAACUCCAUUGUUUUCUUUCCUUAAAGGAAACCUGCUUAAUCUGAACCUAGUAAAACUUUCCAGCCUGGAGUGAAUUUGAAGCUUCAAAUUUGCCAGUUCUCUACCUCAUUACGCUUCUAAGACAGAAGACUGCUUGAGCCACAAAACAGACACAGUGACCUCUAGUGGAUUUAAAGUUUGGUUGCUGUUCUUGCUAUGGGCUAUGAUCCACAGAAGUCACACUUGGGACAUAACAAGUGCUGUUCUGCCCUAUCACUUGUUGAACUGUGCCCACCCCCAUUCUGUCUUGUCAUUUAUUAACACACUUCUUCUACACAUCCUGCACUCACAGCGGUGUUAUGAAUGCCCAUAAGGUUCACAUAGGACCCUUAAUGAACAUUUAAAUACAAUACACCUCUUGUGUCUCACAUAGGCACCCCUUUAACUCUUGUUUUUGUCACAUCCAAAACAUAUCUUUAAGGUAUUAGAAACUCCUGGGUCUGAUUAGUUGCGGUAGGCUAUGCAGCAAUGAGAAUCUCUGCCUACACAGCAUCUCUUGAAAAAUCCGACCAUGGAAAUCACUUGCCUUCUAAGUGCCAAUAUAUCUUAAAGCUUUAUUGUUUAAUGUACGCUGUCUGCUAUGUACUGCUUUGUAAAUCAUUACCUUGUAGUUAUUGUCUUUGUUUAUACACCUGUAAAUAAAUACCUGUAUGUUUCCUUUGUA